GUCGGUAUAGCAAAGUGGUUACUGCGUUUGACUUGAACACUGCGAACAGUGAGUUAUCAAAUUCCCUUCGGGAGCGUAGGUUCGAACCCUACUGCCGACG
rnacentral:tRNA from 1 species